GUUUUAGGGCCUUUCGUUUUGGAGGAGGAAGCUCUGACGGGGCCAGCCCUCCCGGGAGGAGGGGCUGGGCUGAGCAAGCAAGGGUGACGGUGAAUGCAAAGUCCCUGCCGCGUGGUUCAGUUUUGUUCUCACCCCGAGUGGCCAAGGAGGCCUCUUGGCAGAGGAGGCUUACACACCGGAACUUGCUGUGAGGAGUGCCCCGGAGCCUGGCUGGCUCUGGAAUGCGUUCGCUUGGGUUGUCUCUGUAGAGAACUCUGAGAAAAUCCUCAGGGUGUAGAGAAGAGAAACACAAUAAAAUGGUAAUGAGGGGCCCGGGCCCCACACGGGGCACUGUCGCUGUGAGUAGUUCCUUCAAGGAAGCUCCCGCUGUUUGUCCAGCCCUUGUCAGCGGGUCUGGAAGGGCUUAUGUUUAUCCCAAACCAGCACACGUGGGGACAACCACCACAGACGCUGAGAAACAGCCCCAAGGAAGGAGGGGAUUCCA